CCAAUAGCGUAUAUUAAAGUUGUUGCAGUUAAAAAGCUCGUAGUUGAACUUCGGGGUUUGCUCAUUGGUCAGGCUUAAUUGUCUGCACUGGUGGGAUAAAUCUCUACCUUCUGAGGAACUUUCAUGCCAUUUAUUUGGUGUGAUGGGAAAUCAGGACUGUUACUUUGAAAAAAUUAGAGUGUUUAAAGCAGACUAACGUCUGAAUACAUUAGCAUGGAAUAAUGAAAUAGGACGGACUGAUUCUAUUUCGUUGGUUUCUAGGAUCACCGUAAUGAUUAAUAGGGAUAGUUGGGGGCAUUAGUAUUCAAUUGUCAGAGGUGAAAUUCUUGGAUUUAUUGAAGACUAACUACUGCGAAAGCAUUUGCCAAGGAUGUUUUCAUUAAUCAAGAACGAAAGUUAGGGGAUCGAAGACGAUCAGAUACCGUCGUAGUCUUAACCAUAAACUAUGCCGACUAGGGAUCGGAUGAUGUUAAUUUUUUAAUGACUCAUUCGGCGCCUUACG
rnacentral:rRNA from 1 species